rnacentral:rRNA from 1 species
UGGGGAAUUUUCCGCAAUGGGCGAAAGCCUGACGGAGUGACGCCGCGUGGGGGACGAAGGCCUUCGGGUUGUAAACCCCUGUCAGAGGGAAAGAAGGGUGUCGGCGCGAUAACCGCCGGCACUUGACGGUACCUUCAGGGGAAGCCCCGGCCAACUCUGUGCCAGCAGCCGCGGUAAUACAGAGGGGGCGAGCGUUAUUCGGAAUUAUUGGGCGUAAAGGGCGCGUAGGCGGCCAGGCAAGUCUUGGGUGAAAUCCCUCGGCUCAACCGAGGAACUGCCCCGGAAACUGCCUGGCUUGAGGCCGGGAGAGGAUGGUGGAAUUCCCAGUGUAGCGGUGAAAUGCGUAGAUAUUGGGAGGAACACCGGUGGCGAAGGCGGCCAUCUGGACCGGUCCUGACGCUGAGGCGCGAAAGCGUGGGGAGCAA